GGGGUCGUUUUGGAUUCGACAGGCGAUUCAAAGAAUCAAACUCACGUGGUUUGGCAGCCUAACUGCUAAUCUAAAAUAACUGUAAAAAGUUUCGCUUAAUUGUCUUUAUAGACAUAGUUUGGUUGGGUGAUUAUCACCAUUAGAUCGUCGGCUCUAAUAAGCACGACAAAACAAAGAGGAAUGGUCAGGUCGCAAUCGGGCGAUUCAUGACAACACAGUAGUUCGUUUUGACUAGUUUUCUAGUCCGCUGGACUAGUUCCAGCAUUUUACACCCUCACUGUUCUUGUUCCAGUGAUGGGCUUCGCAAGCUAGAACAAGUAAACGUGUAAUUAAAGGUUUGGUUUGGCGGUUGUUUGGACGUGGGUUCGAUACCCACCGACUCCAUUU
rnacentral:tmRNA from 1 species